UGUGCGCAGGUGACCUGUGUAGCUGCUAACCGGCUAAAAAUGUUUCUUUUUCAAGACAACUUUGUCUUUUUGUGGAAGAAAUAACAAUGUCAAGUGUACCCUGUGACCGUGUUGACAGCUUUGGACAUUUAUUUUUUAUUUUUUUUGUCGCAGUUGACCCUUGUUUGGUAAGUUUUCAUCUCCCUCGAGCUGCGUUCACUGCCACUGCGUCACGUCGACAAGAGAAUAAGAAAUUAAUAACGGAAUGAUUGCUUCAUCGUGGCUGUUUUACUUCAUGAAAAAACUCGUUUCAAUGCACCCGGCUGCCAAUAGACUUGCACAUCAGGGACAAGCUGUUCAAACAGACCCUGAUACAAAGGCUAACCAUGUGUGGGAAAAGCAGGCUGUAAUUCAACAUUGAUAGCACUCAUCUGUGCGCCGCUGAUCUUCCCUGGCUUGGGUGCGGAGGGAGGGAAGCGGGGACACCAACAGGAUAACUCCUCUCAUGUGGCACUUCUGGCAGGCAAACCUCAACUGUGGCUGAAGCUGAUCUCAGGAAGUCUGGGCACAGUCCAAGAAAAAAUGAGCGGCAGGGGAAGAUUAGACCAUGUCCCCAAGUACUGUAGAUCCAGUGAAAAUGAAGAGAGGUUUUAGCUGUGUUGUUGUUGUUGUUGUUCAAGUAUUCCCAAGGCAGACUGCAAGUUUUUGAGAUUUUUGUUAGAUAAGCCUAAAUUGCCUGACGAAUCACUUCUGCCAGGCAACAAAACUUAUGAGAGUCCCAGCACUAAAUAUUGGAAAACAACACAUUCUCCAGUACAGUGCAUUCAUAUUUGUUAUAUUUGUAGUUUUAGUCAAAUGAGAAUUUUCUGCUGAGAAGCUGACAUUUACAGCGACACUG